rnacentral:rRNA from 1 species
CUACGGAGGUUGCAAGCGUUGUUCGGAAUUAUUGGGCGUAAAGAGCAUGUAGGCGGUUCGUUAAGUCUGAUGUGAAAGCCCGGGGCUCAACCCCGGAAGUGCAUUGGAUACUGGCGAACUUGAGUACGGGAGAGGAAAGUGGAAUUUCGAGUGUAGGGGUGAAAUCCGUAGAUAUUCGAAGGAACACCAGUGGCGAAGGCGGCUUUCUGGACCGAUACUGACGCUGAGAUGCGAAAGCGUGGGGAGCAAACAGGAUUAGAAACCCUAGUAGUCC